CCUACGGGUGGCAGCAGUGAGGAAUAUUGGUCAAUGGCCGUAAGGCUGAACCAGCCAAGUCGCGUGAAGGAAGAAGGACCUAUGGUUUGUAAACUUCUUUUAUAGGGGAAUAAAGGUAUCCACGUGAGUAUAUUUGCAUGUACCCUAUGUAUAAGCAUCGGCUAACUCCGGGCCAGCAGCCGCGGUAAUACGGUGGGUGCGAGCGUUAUCCGGAUUUAUUGGGUUUAACGGGUGCGUAGGUUGUUUUUUAAGUCAGCGGUGAAAGUUUGUGGCUCAACCCUGAAGUUGCCGUUGAAACUGGAAGACUUGAGUGUAUAUGAGGAAGGCGGAAUGCGUGGUGUAGCGGUGAAAUGCAUAGAGAUCACGCAGAACUCCGAUUGCGAAGGCAGCUUACUAAGCCGUAACUGACACUGAUGCACGAAAGCGUGGGGAUCAAACAGGAUUAGAUACCCUUGUAGUC
rnacentral:rRNA from 1 species